UACACACCGCCCGUCACACCAUGGGAGUUGAUUGCACCAGAAGUAGAUAGCCUAACCGCAAGGGGGGCGUUUACCACGGUGUGGUCAAUGACUGGGGUG
rnacentral:rRNA from 1 species